rnacentral:lncRNA from 1 species
GUGGUUGGAUGGUAUUCUGAAAAAUAAGAAAUAAAGGUUAAGGAGUGCCUGCCUUCAACCAGGCAGAGCAAGAUGGAAGUGGAAUCCUCUGGGCCACAAUGUCAUCCAAGGGGCAUCACAGCAGAGAACAACAAUGUGUGAAUAAUGGAGCCUACAUACCAGAAGGCUAGGACAUCUAACUACCUACAGGAAGCCAAGCUCCCCUUGAAGAAAUAAGCUUACAUGCACAAGACUGGGACAGUUCUCUCUGUUGGAUGGCAAGGAUCACUUCGGCUGAGUAUCCCUUUUCUGGUUGCUCUGUACUUAUUCAAGUUGAAAGGAUGAUUUAAAAGUAGUGAUUCUAUUAUGACUGCCUCCAUCAUCUUCAUCAUCAUCAUCAGCAGCAGCAGCAGCAGGAGCAGCAGCAGCAUUAUAAUCAGUGUCAUCGUCACAUCUUCAUUGCAAGUCUAACAUGAUAUAUAUGUCACUGCAUCAGGUAACAGAAUUUCAAGGAGGUAUAAAGGCCUUGAAGAUCUUAUAACCAAGUUUGGAAGUCAGAGUAACUACAUUUAGAAGCCAGCUGUUCUGUGAUGCAAAGUGCUGAGACUGAGCUAUGCAGCUGUGUGUGUCUACAGUGAAGGAUCACCUGGAUGUUUCAGUGAUGAUGGUGUGGAAGCUACAGUGAGUGAGGAAGAGCACAAGAACAUUCCCCGACACAGAGCAAGAAUUCACCCACUGGCAGACAAGGAAAGAGAAAUCCACACUUGAACCUCACGUUUUGAUGUAUUACUUAUGGAGUGUUCCUGUGACCUGUUAGCCACUGGAGUGUGUUCUCAGCAAAUGAUUAUAGACACCUAAUCCCUCACAUUUGACAACCUGUGUCGUAAGAGCCUUACCAUAUUUCAAUCCUGCAGAGGUGUUGCUCUGCAGAGGAGGGAGGGUCAUGAAGGAAAACGUCCCCAGCAUGUCUUCAGACUGUGUGUGAGGAAGUGGGAAGAGCCCAUAGCUGCACAUUGCCCAUUUUUCAGAGUGAAGAUUAAAGGUUUUGUUGUGUCUGUAUGGGCAUCUCCACAUCUGAUAAUAUACCAUAUGACUAUCUAACUUUCCUAUUUGCCUUAUUUGGCCUAAAUUGUUGCUUGGCUGAAGUGUUCAAUCCUAGUCCCUCAAACAUGCCUAUGUUACCAUGUCCCUUUCUCUUGCCUUUGUCAAAGCUUAACAUAUUCUCAAGAAAGGGAUCAGAAUGUCUGGGACUCUAUAUUUUACCUAUACUGAGUGGCAGUUAUAACUCAUUACCAUACUCACACUCUUCUGUCUGAAAGACAGGCCUGCUUUUCUUAGUUAUAAAAUUUGUCCCAUUUUUUUGAUCUCCAAGUCUAGUGGAUGAGCUAUCUCAACUGUGCAUAGAGUAUUUGGCUAUGCUGGCUCCUAACAAGAUGCCAAGUGGUUCACUUGCUUUAUUACUCUUUCCAAAUUGAACAGCCAGCUCAGAGAGAUACACUGUGGCAUCUGCGGAGUGGACAAAAAUAGACAAUCAGUAAUUAGUUAAUAGACAACAAUUUUAGAAAUAAGAAACAAAAACUGAACAUUUUACAUGUGUUUAGAGUCCA